GUCUAUAGCCAUACCAGCCUGGAUGUGCCCGAUCUUGUCUGAUCUAGGAAGCUAAGCAGGGUCGGGCCUGGUUAGUGCUUGGAUGGGGAAAAGUGGCACUGAGUCC
rnacentral:rRNA from 1 species